GGUUCCAUAGUGUAGCAAUUAGCACACCUGCUUUACACACAGAAGGUCCUGGGUUCGUGCCCCCGUGAAGCCA
rnacentral:tRNA from 1 species